UGAGUCUUAAGAUAGUGUUUGCA
rnacentral:piRNA from 1 species